rnacentral:rRNA from 1 species
AUACGGAGGAUCCGAGCGUUAUCCGGAUUUAUUGGGUUUAAAGGGUGCGCAGGCGGCCAUUUAAGUCAGCGGUUAAAUCGUGGGGCUCAACCCCAUUCUGCCGUUGAUACUGGGUGGCUUGAUUGCGGUCGAGGUUGGCGGAAUUCGUUGUGUAGCGGUGAAAUGCAUAGAAAUGACGAAGAACACCGAUUGCGUAGGCAGCUGACCAGACCGCAAAUGACGCUCAUGCACGAAAGUGCGGGGAUCGAACAGGAUUAGAUACCCUGGUAGUCCGCACAGUAAACGAUGAAUACUUGUUUUCGGCGAUAUAAUGUCGGAGGCAAAGCGAAAGCGAUAAGUAUUCCACCUGGGGAGUACGCCGGCAACGGUGAAACUCAAAGGAAUUGACGGGG